CCAGGCACAUGUCCAACGCUUAAGCAAAUAGAAAAUCUCUCACGCCUCUACCAUGUUCACGUUGGCUUCCUGGAGGUUUCACAUAUGCGCCGCCUUUCCAUAUCCCUCGCACAGGCCUUUAGCUCCCUGCACCAGCGCUUGUUCUUUUUAGUGUCGAGCCUCUUGCUCCACGCCAGUUCCUGGCUCGACGUCAUCGAGCACGCCAGCCACCCGCCCCUGAACGAGCUCCCUCCCAGUUGUCUUCUCUGUGCCGCCUCCUCGCCGAGUUGCGCGCUGCCGACCGAGCUGGUGACCUCGCCCAGGUCCGAGCUCGACCUCCCCAACGCCCUGGACACCAAGGUCCCACGACGCGGUGCAGUGACAAACUUGCCUAGGUCCGGCGCCCUUAGCUCUAGCUUGCCGAGCUUCUUUCCCAGCCGCUCCAGCAUACACCGAUAGCCAAGCCUCUCCAUCACGCCAAGCUACUCACCUCCGCUCGACUUGCAAGCUUCGGCCGCACCUCGCUCCUUAGCCACCUCGCCGGCGCCUACCUACGUCACAGUCCCCUCUUGUGGUAGGCGUCGCGACGUUCCUGCUCCACGCCGUGGCGUCUCCCCGGUGUCUCCCUGCCUUCAACGGGUCUCACCCGGCUGCGUCCUCGGCCUGGCUCGCUGUGCUCGUCCAUGGCCACCGGUGUUCGCCUUCUUGCGUCGCGCCCGACCCAGCCGUGUGCUCGCCCGGCCGCGUCCUAUCGAGGUACGUUUAUUGACUACAUGAUAUGGAGGACCAAAGUUGAGUCGACCAUAAGAUAUCGCUACGCGUGAACUUCUCCAAAAGAUGAAGCUGAUGGACUAAUCUGAAGAUGGAUGGACGAAGCAAGUAUCAGAACAAAGGAUGGUCGUCAAGUGAUCGACGUCUAACAAACACUAACCUAGUGUUUAUUCCAGGCAAGCCCCAGUGCAUGCAACCCUUCCUUGUGUUUUUAAAUUAUUUUUACACACUUUAAGUCUAGUGAAUGUGCAUUAGGUUUAUAGGAGUUGCUUGGAAACCCUUUGAUGCAUUGGCUA